UACGUAGGGUGCAGGCGUUAAUCGGAAUUACUGGGCGUAAAGGGCGCGUAGGCGGUCUUCUAAGUCUUGUGUGAAAUCCCUCGGCUCAACUGAGGAACUGCACGGGAUACUGGAAGACUUGAGUUCGGGAGAGGGAAGCGGAAUUCCGGGUGUAGCGGUGAAAUGCGUAGAUAUCCGGAGGAACACCGGUGGCGAAGGCGGUUCUCUGGGAAUGUCCUGACGCUGAGGAGCGAAAGUGUGGGGAGCGAACAGG
rnacentral:rRNA from 1 species